rnacentral:rRNA from 1 species
GAUGAACGCUGGCGGCGUGCCUAAUACAUGCAAGUCGAGCGAACGGACGAGAAGCUUGCUUCUCUGAUGUUAGCGGCGGACGGGUGAGUAACACGUGGAUAACCUACCUAUAAGACUGGGAUAACUUCGGGAAACCGGAGCUAAUACCGGAUAAUAUUUUGAACCGCAUGGUUCAAAAGUGAAAGACGGUCUUGCUGUCACUUAUAGAUGGAUCCGCGCUGCAUUAGCUAGUUGGUAAGGUAACGGCUUACCAAGGCAACGAUGCAUAGCCGACCUGAGAGGGUGAUCGGCCACACUGGAACUGAGACACGGUCCAGACUCCUACGGGAGGCAGCAGUAGGGAAUCUUCCGCAAUGGGCGAAAGCCUGACGGAGCAACGCCGCGUGAGUGAUGAAGGUCUUCGGAUCGUAAAACUCUGUUAUUAGGGAAGAACAUAUGUGUAAGUAACUGUGCACAUCUUGACGGUACCUAAUCAGAAAGCCACGGCUAACUACGUGCCAGCGGCCGCGGUAAUACGUAGGUGGCAAGCGUUAUCCGGAAUUAUUGUGCGUAAAGCGCGCGUAGGCGGUUUUUUAAGUCUGAUGUGAAAGCCCACGGCUCAACCGUGGAGGGUCAUUGGAAACUGGAAAACUUGAGUGCAGAAGAGGAAAGUGGAAUUCCAUGUGUAGCGGUGAAAUGCGCAGAGAUAUGGAGGAACACCAGUGGCGAAGGCGACUUUCUGGUCUGUAACUGACGCUGAUGUGCGAAAGCGUGGGGAUCAAACAGGAUUAGAUACCCUGGUAGUCCACGCCGUAAACGAUGAGUGCUAAGUGUUAGGGGGUUUCCGCCCCUUAGUGCUGCAGCUAACGCAUUAAGCACUCCGCCUGGGGAGUACGACCGCAAGGUUGAAACUCAAAGGAAUUGACGGGGACCCGCACAAGCGGUGGAGCAUGUGGUUUAAUUCGAAGCAACGCGAAGAACCUUACCAAAUCUUGACAUCCUUUGACAACUCUAGAGAUAGAGCCUUCCCCUUCGGGGGACAAAGUGACAGGUGGUGCAUGGUUGUCGUCAGCUCGUGUCGUGAGAUGUUGGGUUAAGUCCCGCAACGAGCGCAACCCUUAAGCUUAGUUGCCAUCAUUAAGUUGGGCACUCUAAGUUGACUGCCGGUGACAAACCGGAGGAAGGUGGGGAUGACGUCAAAUCAUCAUGCCCCUUAUGAUUUGGGCUACACACGUGCUACAAUGGACAAUACAAAGGGCAGCGAAACCGCGAGGUCAAGCAAAUCCCAUAAAGUUGUUCUCAGUUCGGAUUGUAGUCUGCAACUCGACUACAUGAAGCUGGAAUCGCUAGUAAUCGUAGAUCAGCAUGCUGCGGUGAAUACGUUCCCGGGUCU